CCAGAGCCUGAAUCAGUGUGUGUGUUAGUGGAAGCGUCUGGAAAGGCGUGCGAUACAGGGUGACAGCCCCGUACACAAAAAUGCACAUACUGUGAGCUCGAUGAGUAGGGCGGGACACGUGGUAUCCUGUCUGAAUAUGGGGGGACCAUCCUCCAAGGCUAAAUACUCCUGACUGACCGAUAGUGAACCAGUACCGUGAGGGAAAGGCGAAAAGAACCCCGGCGAGGGGAGUGAAAAAGAACCUGAAACCGUGUACGUACAAGCAGUGGGAGCACGCUUAGGCGUGUGACUGCGUACCUUUUGUAUAAUGGGUCAGCGACUUAUAUUCUGUAGCAAGGUUAACCGAAUAGGGGAGCCGAAGGGAAACCGAGUCUUAACUGGGCGUUAAGUUGCAGGGUAUAGACCCGAAACCCGGUGAUCUAGCCAUGGGCAGGUUGAAGGUUGGGUAACACUAACUGGAGGACCGAACCGACUAAUGUUGAAAAAUUAGCGGAUGACUUGUGGCUGGGGGUGAAAGGCCAAUCAAACCGGGAGAUAGCUGGUUCUCCCCGAAAGCUAUUUAGGUAGCGCCUCGUGAAUUCAUCUCCGGGGGUAGAGCACUGUUUCGGCAAGGGGGUCAUCCCGACUUACCAACCCGAUGCAAACUGCGAAUACCGGAGAAUGUUAUCACGGGAGACACACGGCGGGUGCUAACGUCCGUCGUGAAGAGGGAAACAACCCAGACCGCCAGCUAAGGUCCCAAAGUCAUGGUUAAGUGGGAAACGAUGUGGGAAGGCCCAGACAGCCAGGAUGUUGGCUUAGAAGCAGCCAUCAUUUAAAGAAAGCGUAAUAGCUCACUGGUCGAGUCGGCCUGCGCGGAAGAUGUAACGGGGCUAAACCAUGCACCGAAGCUGCGGCAGCGACGCUUAUGCGUUGUUGGGUAGGGGAGCGUUCUGUAAGCCUGUGAAGGUGUGCUGUGAGGUAUGCUGGAGGUAUCAGAAGUGCGAAUGCUGACAUAAGUAACGAUAAAGCGGGUGAAAAGCCCGCUCGCCGGAAGACCAAGGGUUCCUGUCCAACGUUAAUCGGGGCAGGGUGAGUCGACCCCUAAGGCGAGGCCGAAAGGCGUAGUCGAUGGGAAACAGGUUAAUAUUCCUGUACUUGGUGUUACUGCGAAGGGGGGACGGAGAAGGCUAUGUUGGCCGGGCGACGGUUGUCCCGGUUUAAGCGUGUAGGCUGGUUUUCCAGGCAAAUCCGGAAAAUCAAGGCCGAGGCGUGAUGACGAGGCACUACGGUGCUGAAGCAACAAAUGCCCUGCUUCCAGGAAAAGCCUCUAAGCAUCAGGUAACAUCAAAUCGUACCCCAAACCGACACAGGUGGUCAGGUAGAGAAUACCAAGGCGCUUGAGAGAACUCGGGUGAAGGAACUAGGCAAAAUGGUGCCGUAACUUCGGGAGAAGGCACGCUGAUACGUAGGUGAAGCGACUUGCUCGUGGAGCUGAAAUCAGUCGAAGAUACCAGCUGGCUGCAACUGUUUAUUAAAAACACAGCACUGUGCAAACACGAAAGUGGACGUAUACGGUGUGACGCCUGCCCGGUGCCGGAAGGUUAAUUGAUGGGGUUAGCGCAAGCGAAGCUCUUGAUCGAAGCCCCGGUAAACGGCGGCCGUAACUAUAACGGUCCUAAGGUAGCGAAAUUCCUUGUCGGGUAAGUUCCGACCUGCACGAAUGGCGUAAUGAUGGCCAGGCUGUCUCCACCCGAGACUCAGUGAAAUUGAACUCGCUGUGAAGAUGCAGUGUACCCGCGGCAAGACGGAAAGACCCCGUGAACCUUUACUAUAGCUUGACACUGAACAUUGAGCCUUGAUGUGUAGGAUAGGUGGGAGGCUUUGAAGUGUGGACGCCAGUCUGCAUGGAGCCGACCUUGAAAUACCACCCUUUAAUGUUUGAUGUUCUAACGUGGACCCGUGAUCCGGGUUGCGGACAGUGUCUGGUGGGUAGUUUGACUGGGGCGGUCUCCUCCUAAAGAGUAACGGAGGAGCACGAAGGUUGGCUAAUCCUGGUCGGACAUCAGGAGGUUAGUGCAAUGGCAUAAGCCAGCUUGACUGCGAGCGUGACGGCGCGAGCAGGUGCGAAAGCAGGUCAUAGUGAUCCGGUGGUUCUGAAUGGAAGGGCCAUCGCUCAACGGAUAAAAGGUACUCCGGGGAUAACAGGCUGAUACCGCCCAAGAGUUCAUAUCGACGGCGGUGUUUGGCACCUCGAUGUCGGCUCAUCACAUCCUGGGGCUGAAGUAGGUCCCAAGGGUAUGGCUGUUCGCCAUUUAAAGUGGUACGCGAGCUGGGUUUAGAACGUCGUGAGACAGUUCGGUCCCUAUCUGCCGUGGGCGCUGGAGAACUGAGGGGGGCUGCUCCUAGUACGAGAGGACCGGAGUGGACGCAUCACUGGUGUUCGGGUUGUCAUGCCAAUGGCACUGCCCGGUAGCUAAAUGCGGAAGAGAUAAGUGCUGAAAGCAUCUAAGCACGAAACUUGCCCCGAGAUGAGUUCUCCCUGACCCUUUAAGGGUCCUGAAGGAACGUUGAAGACGACGACGUUGAUAGGCCGGGUGUGUAAGCGCAGCGAUGCGUUGAGCUAACCGGUACUAAUGAACCGUGAGGCUUAACCUUACAACGCCGAAG
rnacentral:rRNA from 1 species